rnacentral:rRNA from 1 species
GACGAACGCUGGCGGCGUGCCUAAUACAUGCAAGUCGAACGCAGUGGGGACGGGUGAGUAACACGUGGGUAGCCGCCCAUCAGAGGGGAUAACACUGGGAAAAAGGUGCUAAACCGAUACUGAUGGAUGGACCCGCGGUGGAUUAGCUAGUUGGUGAGGUAACGGCUCAUCAAGGCCACGAUGCCUAGCCGGUCUGAGAGGGUGGUCGGCCACACUGGGACUGGGACACGGCCCAGACGCCUACGGGAGGCAGCAGUAGGGAAUCUUCUGCAAUGGACGCAAGUCUGACCGAGCAACGCCGCGUGAGUGAAGAAGGUUUUCGGGUUGUAAAACUCUGUUGUUAGGGAGGCGGUACCUAACCAGAAAGCCACGGCUAACUACGUGCCAGCAGCCGCGGUAAUAC